CUCUUCUGCAGUAUCUCUCAAUCCAUGUAAGGAAUUCUGGAGAGGAAGGUGGCAGCAUUACUAAUCAGAUGUUUGACUGGGAAAUGUAAAGAGAUAGUCAUUACAUGGACAUCUGGAGAAAAAAACAGCACAUGGAAGUAUCAAGUGUUCUGGGGCCGCCCAGGCAGAGGACAUCUUCUCCUAUGGAUUUCUCCUGGGCAAGAAUGGCAUCUCGGUGCAGGACCCGCAGCACUUUCUCUGGCUCCGCAGACCCGUAAUGAGCCUCCAGAACCUCAGGCUUGGUUUUCUCUGUCUUCAGCAUGUGGAUCACAUCUUCUCUGGCCUGUAAUAGAAAGUGCAGCAAGAUCAGACGACUGACAAUGUAAAUCGCAUACUGGGCUCAAAAAAUCAACAGAGAGCUUAUUGAAUACAUCCCCAUCUUGUCAGGGCUAUUGGCAAAUUCACUGGGUAUUCUGCUCUAAUUUUUUUUUUUAACCAAAAGCAGAUUGGCAAGCAGAUACUCUGCUUCAGGUUGCUAGGAAGCAGGCAAGCAGAAAAAAGGAUUUGUGCUAAUAUUAACUACAUAAAAAUUGCUUUAUCUAAGUAGCAAUAAUUUGGGAUGGGGUGGGGGAGGGAGGCAAGCAGGGCUGGUCCUGGCAUACUUAACCUGUUCCAGUGCACAUGAGGUCAAUGACAGUCUAAAAUCUUCUAGUUUUCUAUUGAUGUUCUCAAUGUAGUAUUCAAAUCUGGUUUAAAAUAAAACCCUGCUGCCUCCAUUCUAGUUAUAACUUCAUGUGUAAUUAACAAACAGCCUUUAUUGGUUAUUUCCUGUUUCUCAUUAGGUGAUUCAUUUUGCACAGAAACACAUGGUUGAGAACUCACAUAAUGCUUGGCUGUCCUUUUCAAAUCUAAUGUAUCUAAUGUAUUCACAAAAAAGGUGAAAUUUCACCCCUUUAACAUCAGACUGUCAGUUAGAUGAGUCAGCUUGGUAGGUCAGAGUUUUGUUUGUUUGUUUCUUAGCACAACGUAUUGCUGAAGCUUUCAAGAAAACCACGAUUGUAGGCUUUAUAUCAUACUGUCUGUGGUUCCCAUCACAUAAUGCAAAUACACCUGUUUAUGUUUUGCACUCGUUAGUAGGGUUGAUCUUUCUAGUUAUGAUGGAGCUGACAUUUGCUGAAUGUAUUUCCAUAUGGGGACACACUUGGAGCUAUUUUUCCAGUAAUGGUGAUGGGUAAGAAGUGCCCUGACUUCAUUCCAACUUAUACUAAAGAAAAAGCUGGUUGGGAACAAAGUUUCAGCCUAUGACAAUGGAAUAGAAUUUUCUCCUAUAUUGAUGCUAACUGUGGGACUGAAAUUAUAAACCUGGUUCAUUAUUAUGAUAUUCUAAAGAAGAGAGCUAAGUAGUCAACUAUGAGUAUUCAUGAUACGACCAUUAUAAAGUUUGUCUUUCUUGAGGUUUCUCACUUUUGUUGCUUUUUUGGUCUCCAAAUUAAUCUAAUUCCAUAUGGCUACAGAAUAAUUCAUUACUGAGAUGUCAGUGAACUGGAAUUUGCAGAUUUGAAAUGUCUCUGCCACAUAUACGUAUGCUCACUUCAAGACAAAAAUGGAAAAUAUGAAUUUUGAAGAACCCAGUGGUUUAGAAUGUUGGUGAGAAUGUUGAAGUCAGGAAGUAGUUUAAUGGAAAGGCAAUGUGUCUCCAUGCAGGUUGAAAGAAGAUAAGCACAGAUGCAGGGUCAAGUUAGCCUGUACACUGUGCUCAUCAGAAAAACGUGCCCACUUUAUUCAGGAGACACAGCCCUGAGUCAGAGCACAGCUUACGUAGUGAGUGAAGAGCAGGCUGUAUUUUAGCCCCAUUCAUCCUCUCUGCCAGGCACCAUUGUACAAGGCAUAACUCCCAAUCUGUACUGAAGGAGUCUCAAGUUAUGUAGACUGCUAUUGGUCUUCAGGCAGAAAGUGCUCCUAUGUUCAUCUGACAUAGGUGAAUAUAUAAAGCAUAUUCUAAAAUAAUGAUUCACAAUGCUGACUGUGCUGAAGUCAUUUGAGGAACUCUAAAAAAUCCCAAGGCCCAGGCCACUCCUGACCAAUUACAUUCUAAUCUUUUGGAGAAGGACCUACACAUCAACACUUUUUAAGGCUCCCAGGUGAUUCCAAAGUUGAGAGUACUGUGCCACACUAAUAGAUUAUGAGACAUAGCAACUAAAUUGAAUACAAAUCCUUGGCAUCAUCCAAAGUAAACUUUCUUACUUUGGUGCAAGUGCAUUUCCUUUUUCCGAUCUUAAAAAGGUGUCAUCACCUUUCUCCUUUAAGUCAUCCUCACACCCGAGGUCAGUUUUUUGCUUAGACCAAAUCUGAAAGAGACAAACUCGUCUUUAAAGAAGAAACACCAUACUGUGAAUUUAGUGACUUAUGUAAUGACAGGAAAGGAAAAUUUAGAAUCACAUUUAAAGUGAAAAAAUGGCGAUGAUAGAAGGUUGGCAAGCUGGAAGUUCUUGAUAACAAACUACUGUCUCUUUCUCAUCUUUAAAUCAGAUGAAGUAAAGGCCAUUUUCUAAGGUUCAUUUUUCUAACAUGUGAAAUGUGAAGUCUUAUAGAGCAGACAUAGAAUGUACUGUCCUUUGAAAAAAUAAAUAAAUAAAUAAUUUUAAUAUAAAAAAAUUAAAAAGAAUGUACUGUUGUUUGUACCAUAAAUUGAGAUACUGAUUACAAAAUUUCUGAAAGACUAAAAGAAAAGGGCUUAGAAGACAGGGUAGUAAUAUUAAGGGC
rnacentral:lncRNA from 10 species